rnacentral:lncRNA from 1 species
UUCUACUUUAUCCUUUUCUUCGUUGCUUUCAAAUCAGUGAAGUACUUCUUCAUCAACUAUUGGAUCUUCUGUGGGUAUUUCUGACACAUGGAUACAUCAGGAUAACACCAGCCAGAUGCUGCUUCAACCUAGUCGCCCCUCUUCUCUUGAAUUCUGUGUUGCACCAUUUGUAUUUUCAAUGAUGUUGAGCCAAGAGCAUCUCGCUAUGAUCC